GUCGCCUCCCGCGAGCCCCUUCGCACCUGUGGCUGCCGCCGCGGGCGCGGGCACCCGGAGGGCGCAGCCGGCAGCCGCCGCGUCUCGCUCGUCCCGGGCCGCUCACACUUUUAUGCCCCCGCUGCCUGCGAUCGACUUUCCCGUUUUUGCAGACUGCGCCAGUUCGCACCAACUUUCCGUCCGAAGUUGCCUUUUUCUGCCUCCUCCUCCUCCUCCUCUUCGUUCGCAGGCUCGGCUCGCCCUUCCCCUGCGUUUUCUCCCCCUCCCUUCUCCUUCCUUCUUUGCAGACACCACAACUCCAGCAGGAGCGCCCCUCCCCGGGGCCCCCGGCGGCGUGGCGCGGGCGGGCGCGGUCGGCUCGGCCCGGCUCGGGCUGCAGCGCGGAAGCAGCCAGCGAGCAGUGGCGAGCGCCUCGCGGCCGGCAGCGGAGCGCGAGAGAGACUGAGCGCAGGGUUCUGCCUGGGCACCACCUGCCAGGAGGAGAGGAGGCUGAGAAACGCGCGCCGGAGCAAUUUAUAGGCACCCGAGGCACGGAGGAAGGGGAGCCGCUUUGGCAUCUCCGUGCGGCAUCUGCUGCGCUCAUCCCACUCAGACAGAGUUUGGCAUUACUCUGACAAUGUGGGAUUUUUUUUUUCUCGGCCUCUCUUUUUUUCUCUCGCUGCACAUGGAUGAGCAGCGAGAUCCUGAAUACUCCCUUGCCGAACCCAGGCGAUGGCAGCGCUCUUGCCGGACAAACCUGGGGGAGGGAUCAGCUGUGCCCAGCCUUGGCCGGGGCACACCGAGGCCGCCUGUUUCCCCCCUGCCCGAGCCCCACUUGGAGGGUCAGGGUGAAGGUGGAAAGGAAGAGGAAGGUGGCCUCGUUGCCAGUGUGUCUCUCCCGGCCCACUCACCCACAAUCAGCUUUCCAAAUGAAAUAAAACAUUACCCCGAGAGCAGGAAGGUGUGUUACAACACCAAAGGACAUUUCUCUAUGAUUUUCAAUGGACACGUCCACCCCAGGUAGAGGAGACGGUUGGUUCUUUUUACAAGUGCUGCACAACACGAACUCGACUAACAGGCUUGCAAUUCCACCAAGUUCUUGGCAGAUACCGUCACUGGGCUUGAAGCUGCAUCUACUUCAGGGUGCUACAUGCAUGAGAAAUAAUCACUUGUCAGAAUGCCUUCAGAAGUCUUACGAUAAAGCAAGCAACCUUUACAUGAGUGCGAAGCAAGGUCUCCCCUGAAGAUACAGAAAGAGUUCCAUAAGCUCCUUAGCAGAUUUCCCAAAUGUACAUUAGGGGAGGGGGAAACAGGGAAAUAUAACACCCCUCUCCCCCAUUGGCAAUGGGAGAGCAGAAGAAACAGCCCGGAUUUGGAAUAUUAAUAGAAAGCCCUCAGAGUAGAUAUUAGCUGAGUUAUCCCACUCACAAAUACAGAAGGCACCCAAGAACGGCUUUAAAUAAAUAAGGAGAAUUGAUUCCUAAAUCAUACUUUUGCAUUCAGGAGCAAAGGCUGUCAAUCAAACAUAGGUGACAUUUGCUUGUCAAUAGGGGAUGAUGGCUGGGAAGACCAUCACUUAUUACAUCCGGGAGAGAAUCUGAAGUGAGAGGCAGGAACAACUAGGAGGGCGGGGAGCAAACAAUGACAUCCCAGAAGACAGAGAGAAGCCCUGCCUGUGGGCUCCACAGCCCAGAUAUUUCCUUGGGGCUUCCUCAGCUCCCCUCAUUCUGUGCACCUCAGUUCACUCCAACCCCUUUAGCUCUUUCUGUCCUUCUUUGAUUCCAAACAAAAUAAGGUCAAAUGAGCAGAUGGGAGGAAACACAUUCAUUGAUUGCAUUAAGAGGAAUGCCAGCAGCUCCUCAAGGUCUUCAUGUGAGAACCAACAUGAAGGUGAUGGCCUCGCCGCUCAGCACGGUCCAGAUGUCCAUGUCAUCUUUCCACCCUCAUGGAUGCUGAGAACUCCUUGGAUCCUGGAACUGGAAAAUGCCCCUUCUCACUUCUGAAAACUUUAACCUUUACUUUAGGAUCAAAGGUUUCAUAAAUGUGGGUCUGGACCCUGAGCAUAAUUAGAUGUGUUGUUCUGUACAUUUUUAUUCUCACGAGCUACCUUUAUUUUCAUAUUUUUAAGCAGCAUACUUGUGGUAAGAUCUCUCCUGGCUGUAAUACCUGUUUUCAUAACACAUUUUGGUCGCUUCUCGAAAGUCAUCUUUCUUUUGGAGGAGAAAAUGGCAUGAUAUGGUACAAGCAAGGGAGGCUCAUGUGUCCCUGAAGUAAACUCUUUGGUGCACCAAGUUAUCAAAAUCCAUUUGGCCUCUACAGCUGAGGGGAGAUGGGGGAUAAAAAGGAGUUUUUAAAAAGUAGAGAGGUAUAAAUAAAUUCUCAUCAAAACUCCAAGAGACAUGGAGCUGUCUCCUCGAAGAGUGUUUGUCCCAUGGAGGAACCUGAUAAGGGUUGGUAUGAACCCUGGAGAGGUAGUCUCUACCAGAUAGAGAAACUGAGUCAAAGAACUCUGCGUAGAAUUGGGUCUAUCUUUUGAGCUUGCUCUCUAUUCGAUAUUAAUAUAUCCAUCCCCCACCUCUAAGACUUGUGGUUAAUACUAUUAGUAAUUGAGAUUUUUCUCCUUCCUCUUUCCUCUGAUGCCAAAGCCAAGCUUGACUUUGCAAUUCUGCUAAGAGUUAGAAAGGGGCUCAGUAGUCACUGUUGAUAGUGAAGCAUCCUCCCCCAAAGGCCCAAGCCCAACCCCAGAUUUCAUGUAAAAUGUACAUACAUUGGUAGCAACGGAUAUUUGGCUCUUUAGUGAAGUAAGUUUAAAUUGUUGGUCUCCUUCCUCCCUUCUAGAGAUACCGCAUCAUAAACUUUGAGGGAAACCCUUUUCGGUGCCCCUGAGAUUUUCCAGGAUGAUUUGGUAGUAGGCAAGUGUAAUAUAUAGCCGGUUACAGUCACUUUCCACUGCGUGAAUUUCACAGAAAGCUCUCUGGAAUGUUACUCAUGCUCCAGGUCUUGCUCUGGCAGUUUGAAUAAACCAUCUGAUAUGACAUAUGACUCAUCCUCUUUAUAUGUGUAUAAUAACAGAAUAUGUGUCAAUUAAAAAAUAUUUAAUUUUCACCAGCUCUCAUUGGAGAACCAAGUUUUCUCUUACAUUUGAUAUUAAUCCUGGAAAAGGCCCUGGAAUCCCAUUUUUAUAGCAUCUCCAAACCAUUUCUUAAGGAAACACCCUGCUCUACAUUCCCACUCCUUCACCAGCUGGGACCUUUCGGGUGACGGAGCUCAAUUUGGAAGCCCAUGAUGGGAGCUGGAUGGCAAUCCUGUAAAUUUCAUCUUCCCCCACCUCAAUUUGUCACUUUCGAAGAGCUGAGUCGAUCUUAAGCCCACGCUCCCACGCAGAAGUGCUUAGCUAUCUAUCAGACUUCACUGAGCACUCACUGGGCAGCAUGGCCAACCCCAGGCUCUUACUAGGCAAACAGAUAUUUAGUCAUGAGAAUGAUUUCCAAAUCCAGCAGCACUUAAACAGAAAUAGCAUCUCUUGUAAGAAGGAAAGAAACACCAACUUAACAAUUCAAGGGCUAGCCAGAGAAGCAGGCAUUAAAAAAUAUGGAAAAUUAGGACUGGAUCAGCUAUUUACCUUUAAUUUCUUGGUCUUUGAAUUGUUUUUGA
rnacentral:lncRNA from 1 species